GGGUGUAUAGCUCAGUGGUAGAGCAUUCGGCUGUGGUCCGAGAGGGUCUCGGUUCAAACUCGAAGGUGUCCCCU